UUUGUAGGGAGCCUACACGAAAAAUUAGUGACGCUUUGCUUUUUUACGUCUCUUUUUCUUUUAGCGUUACUUAAAGUUGGCCCGUUCGUGAAUUCUCGAGGGUGAGGAGGAACGAAGUGGUCGACCUUUUUUAUGUCUUUUAGCGCUUGCGCGAACCGAGAUCAGACGCCCACGUAGUGUUGCAAUUUACCGCAUAGACCAACAUAGACAGAGACCUCCCCCCACCCCCACAUCGAUGGAGGUUGCAGAGUAACUGGAGUGACUUUGCAGCUUUGUAGUUUGCAGCUUGGGCCACCAUUUUUGAUUUCGAUGGCUCUGUAGUUGGUUUAUGAAGCAAACAGAAUGAGGCACAAGGCUGGUGCGCCUAGGGAUGCUGCUGCUUGUGCCGCGGCUUGGCCUUGACAUUCGCCGUUAACUUUAACCGCGUGAUCGAAAUGAUGAUGAUGAUGGCCCCCCAAAGGCGAAAACUUUACUUGUGGCUCUUGUCAACGUUUCUUGAAUGCUGAGCACUUGUUCAACAAACCGCAGUUCACGGUAACGGUAAAUGACUUCAAACCACCCCCGACCAUCUAGAGGCAACCACAUUGACAUCGACAGCGACGGCGACAAGCCGAGGUCACAGCUGAUAGACAGCUGUCUUCUGGUUACGUCAGUCAAAAUGACGCAUCGUGUUUUGGUAACAGGAAAGCAUAAAACACAAAGCAGAGAUAAACAGAGCGUGGUCGCGCGCCACAUCUCUCUCUGCAAGAAGACGGGUGGGGAGGAAAACUGAUGGGGAUACUGGAGCGAAAGCGGCACAAAAAGAAAAUCCACGAAGAAACAAAAGAAUAUGACCAAAAAACCAAAGCAAAAGCAAAAACACACCCAGACGCAGAAAAUGUAACGCAAAAGUAACAUAACACAAAAGAGCGCCAUCAUCAGAAACCACCCCCGCAACUCUGAAUGCAAUUAGCUAGAGUGCAACAGACUCUAGCAUGGGAAAGAGAAACAAAAAAUGAAAAAAGAAAACAACACACUCACUCUUCCAAAAAACAGGGCUCAUAAUCUUGCAAGCGCCUGGUCCUGGGCGUUUUUAUUGUUGUUGUUGGCUUUUUCGUUUUGGGGAGCCCUGCAAUUAUUUGUCGCGACGCAACGCAACAUGACGCCAACGCUAACGGCAACGCCAAACAAUUCUUAUGUGUGUUUGCUUUUGUGGUGUGUGUGUAAGUAUGUGUUGUGUGUCUGUGAGUAUGAGAAAGUCAACAACAAUGACCGACGAAAGUGGAGAGAACCUUGUGAGUAUUUUAUGAGCGCCUGUUGCUUUGCGGACAAAAUUUGAGCAGAUCCGCUCACAAAAAAACGGCAUUAUAUACAAAACAAACAAAAGUGAACGACCAUUGAAAUAAAUAGUUUUCGUUACAGUGUG